UACGUAGGGACCAAGCGUUGUUCGGAUUUACUGGGCGUAAAGGGCGCGUAGGCGGCAACUCAAGUCAUCUGUGAAAUCUCCGAGCUUAACUCGGAACGGUCAGAUGAUACUGUUUUGCUAGAGUACAGAAGGGGCAAUCGGAAUUCUUGGUGUAGCGGUGAAAUGCGUAGAUAUCAAGAGGAACACCUGAGGUGAAGACGGGUUGCUGGGCUGAUACUGACGCUGAAGCGCGAAAGCUAGGGUAGCAAGCGGG
rnacentral:rRNA from 1 species